rnacentral:rRNA from 1 species
UGCGUAGGCGGUCUAUUAAGUCAGUGGUUAAAGACUGCGGCUCAACCGUAGCACGCCAUUGAUACUGGCAGACUUGAGUGCGACAGAGGAGACUGGAAUGUGUGGUGUAGCGGUGAAAUGCAUAGAUAUCACACAGAACACCAAUUGCGAAGGCAGGUCUAUAUGCCGUAACUGACGCUAAGGCACGAAAGCGUGGGUAGCGAACAGGAUUAGAUACCCUGGUAGUCC